rnacentral:rRNA from 1 species
AUACGGAGGGGGCUAGCGUUGUUCGGAAUUACUGGGCGUAAAGCGCGUGUAGGCGGUUCGACAAGUCGAAUGUGAAAGCCCAGGGCCCAACCCUGGAACUGCAUCCGAAACUGUCGGGCUAGAGUCUCGGAGAGGAAGGCAGAAUUCCCAGUGUAGGGGUGAAAUCCGUAGAUAUUGGGAGGAAUACCAGUUGCGAAGGCGGCCUUCUGGACGAUGACUGACGCUGAUACGCGAAAGCGUGGGGAGCAAACAGGAUUAGAAACCCCGGUAGUCC